CUUUUCUGAGCUUCAUGGAUAUAUAAUUUGGUGCCUGCCAUUUAUUUUUGGAAAACUUUCAGCCAUUAUUCCCUCAAAUAUUUCUCCUGUCUUGUUUGCUCUUCUCCUUCUGGGAUUUCAGUUACGUGUACUUUAGACUGUUCAAUAAUUUUCCACAGAUCUUUGAUGUUCUGUUACGUCUUUUCUCCUAUUACUUUUUUCUUUUUGUGUUUCAGUUUGAAUAAUUUCCACCGACUUAUCUUCAAAUUUGCUGAUUCUUUCCUCAGCUGUAUCAGUCUCUUGAUGAGCCCAUCCAAGGAACAGCAGUGUUUUUCAUUUCUUGCAUUUCCAUUUGAUUAUUCCAGUUCCUGAUUUCUUGCAGAUCCUCAUGCUAUGCACAUAUAACCAAAUCAAGGCACCAGUAUUUACUAUAGAAUUCAAGAGGAAAAGCUCAGUCUCUGUGGGAAUGGUUUAUAAACAGUGAACUUGAUCUCUAAUAAACAUCCUGCACCUCAAAAGUCAUCCCAUCAUCUGCUUCUGGAGAGUCUAACUUGCAACAUCUUCCAUGGUGUAUUAAUCGAGAUUUUCCAGAGAAGCAGAACCAAUAGGAAAUACAUUUAGGGAGAUUUAUUUAUCAUGGGAAUUGGCUCACACAAUUAUGGAAGCUGAGAAGUUCCACGAUCUGCCAUCCACAAGCUGGAGACCCAGAAACACUGAUGUUAUAAGUCCUGGUCUGAGUCCAAUGACCCAGGAGCCAGGAGUGCUGAUGUUCAAGGGGCAGGAGAAGAGGGAUGUCCCAGCUCAAGGACAGAGAGAGCACCUCCUACAGGCAGAGCCCAAGAGGGAGCAGCUGGCAAAGCAGAAAUGUGGUUUGCAAAAUCCCAGCCCUAGCAUCAUAAAGAUCCAUGAUGUGGGUGGGCUUCGUCCAAUCAGUUGAAGGCCAGAAAGGAGCAAAAAGACCAGCCUCCUUGAGCAAGAGGAAUUCUCCAGAAUACCCUGCCUUCAGACUUCAUCUGCAGCUUCAGCUCUCCUGGGUCUCCACCUACCAGCCCACACUGCAGAUUUUGGACUUGCUGGCCUCCAUAACCAUAUGAUCC
rnacentral:lncRNA from 13 species